UACAGGGGGGGCAAGCGUUGUUCGGAAUUACUGGGCGUAAAGGGUCUGUAGGUGGCCAACUAAGUCAGACGUGAAAUCCCUCAGCUUAACUGGGGAACUGCGUCUGAUACUGGAUGGCUUGAGUGUGGGAGAGGAAUGCGGAAUUCCAGGUGUAGCGGUGAAAUGCGUAGAUAUCAGGAGGAACACCUGUGGUGUAGACAGCUUACUGGACCACUUCUGACGCUGAGACACGAAAGCGUGGGUAGCAAACAGG
rnacentral:rRNA from 1 species